rnacentral:tRNA from 1 species
UCCCAUAUGGUCUAGCAGUUAGGAUUCCUGUUUUUCACCCAGGCAGCCCGGGUUCAACUCCCGGUAUGGGAA